ensembl:lncRNA
AGUCGGAAGGAGAUGGGAGUACAGGGUAAUGUUCAGAGAGAUGCAAUAUUGCUGGUUUUGAAGGUGGAGGAAGGGGGCCAGAGUUAAAGAAUGUGGGUGGCCUCUAGAGGCUGGAAAAAGCAAAGAAAUGGAUUCUUCUCCGGAAAAGAAUGGAACCCUGCUGACACUUUAAUUAUAGCCCAGUGAGACCAAUGUUGGACUUCUGACCUACAGAACUGUAGAACACCAGCGAAGACAAGGACAAAAGCUGUCAAAGGCCGGCCUUAGAGGACCUUUGUUGCAAGAAAAGAAAAACUUCAUUGCGAAGUCAGCAGCUCCAAGGAGAGCCUGAGCCAAGAACAUAUUACUCCCUAAAUUUUGUCAAUCAAACAUCAGUCCAUAAAGGAAGAAAAUCGCAGAAAAUCUGUAAAAGGGAAUAGAGAAUGAAAGACGUUUAAAAAAUAUCUUAAUGUCACUUUUCCUAUAUUUUGAAUAUUAUAUUUUUUCAUUACGAAUACAUCGUGCUAUGAAAAUUAGAGAUGCUAUAAAAAGCAAAGAUAAAAUGAUAUUAAACCUCUCUUCCACAAAAGCACAAAGACAAAAGGAAGUGAAAAAACCAGAUUUUUGUGCCAAACAAAAGGUUUGCUGUGGAGGACAAAAAUUAUCUUUGGGAUUUUCAGUUUGACGAGGUGGACUGAACUGUUACUUGCUCACUAAGAUUGGGAAAAUAAAGGCUUAAGUCCUAUUUUUACUUGGUGACCACUGACAUUUUUGAAAUAGUUUUGUGUCUUAAAUUUACACAUGUUGUACAUGUCUGAAGAGAUAGCGAUUUACUUAUUUGAAGAAUAGUGGCUUUUACUGUAUUUCUGGCCCUCAGUUUCUAUAUUUCUGAAAUAAUAUUUUUAGUGUUUUCCUCAGGGUUAAAUGAGUUAUAUCAUGAAGCCUGUAAGUAAUGUCAGUCUGAAUAAAUCUUAACAAGUAUUUAAUUAAAAUCAUUAUACUGAGAAAAAAAGAAAAUCUUAUCCCUUUCUGUAAAGAUUGUUUUUAAAAAAGUUCUUACAGUUGGAAAAGUGCUUCAUGAUGGAAAAAUGUUAACAGGAUAGAUUUCUACAUACCAGUGUAAUAUAUUACAUAAAAAAAACAAUAAUUAAGGAACAUGGUAUUUUAAGGCAUAGGUGGGACAUCUGAAAAUAAGGCCAUACGCAUG